rnacentral:rRNA from 1 species
AUGGGUUGUAAACUGCUUUUGUUAUGGGAUAAAGUGCUCCACGUGUGGAGUUUGUAGGUACCAUACGAAUAAGGACGGCUAAUCCGUGCCAGCAGCCGCGGUAAUACGGAAGGUCCCGGGCGUUAUCCGGGAUUUAUUGGGUUUAAAGGGAGCGUAGGCCGUGGAUUAAGUGUGUUGUGAAAUGUAGGCGCUCAACGUCUGACUUGCAGCGCAUACUGGUCCACUUGAGUGCGCACAACGCGGGCGGAAUUUGUCGUGUAGCGGUGAAAUGCUUAGAUAUGACGAAGAACCCCGAUUGCGAAGGCAGCUCGCGGGAGCGCAACUGACGCUGAAGCUCGAAAGUGCGGGUAUCGAACAGGAUUAGAUACCCUGGUAGUCCGCACGGUAAACGAUGGAUGCCCGCUUUUCGGUCAUUAGACCGUGAGGCCAAGUGAAAACAUUAAGCAUCCCACCUGGGGAGUACGCCGGCAACGGUGAAACUCAAAGGAAUUGACGGGGGCCCGCACAAGCGGAGGAACAUGUGGUUUAAUUCGAUGAUACGCGAGGAACCUUACCCGGGCUUGAAUUGCAGAUGAAGGAUCCAGAGAUGGUGACGCCCUUCGGGGCAUCUGUGAAGGUGCUGCAUGGUUGUCGUCAGCUCGUGCCGUGAGGUGUCGGCUCAAGUGCCAUAACGAGCGCAACCCCUCUCUUCAGUUGCCAUCAGGCUAAGCUGGGCACUCUGGAGACACUGCCACCGCAAGGUGUGAGGAAGGUGGGGAUGACGUCAAAUCAGCACGGCCCUUACGUCCGGGGCUACACACGUGUUACAAUGGGGGGUACAGAAAGCCGGCUGCCCGCAAGGUCAGUCCAAUCAAGAAAGCCUCCCUCAGUUCGGACUGGGGUCUGCAACCCGACCCCACGAAGCUGGAUUCGCUAGUAAUCGCGCAUCAGCCAUGGCGCGGUGAAUACGUUCCCGGGCCUUGUACACACCGCCCGUCAAGCCAUGAAAGCCGGGGGUGCCUGAAGUCCGUGACCGCAAGGAUCGGCCUAGGGCAAAACUGGUAAUUGGGGCUAAGUCGUAACAAGGUAAAUCACUGGCCGUCUUUAACCCC